CGGAGUCGUGCCGGGCCCUCCCCGGAGGCGUACGAUGCUGCUGGUCCUCGCUCCGCCGCCCCCCGCCCUCCCCGGGCGGAGCCGCCGCAAGGCCGGGGUGACGGGCGCGGGCGGGCGCCGGUGCGUCAGCUAGGCGGGAGGGGCCGGGCGGGGCCGGCGGGACGCGGCGCGGCAGCGGCUCGGGCAGGGCAGCGGGUGCCCAUGACGGAUCUGGCGUCGCCGGCGGGUGAGAAGCCCUUCGCCUUCCCGGGGGGCGAGGAGGGCCUGGGCGACGAGAAGGCGCUGGUGAUCCACAGCCAAGCGGAGGAGGAGGUGGAGAAGGAGUUCAAGUGCAUCCUCUGCGGGGAAUGCUUCGGCCAGCAGCCCAGCCUCGCCCGGCACCAGAAGCACCACGCCGGGGAGCGCGCCUUCAUCUGUGCCGAGUGCGGCAAAGCCUUCAGCCUCAAGCACAACCUCAUCAUCCACCAGCGCAUCCACACUGGGGAGCGUCCCUACCAGUGCGGCGUGUGCCAGAAGAGCUUCAGCCUCAAGCAGAACCUGCUCACCCACCAGCGCAUCCACAGCGGCGAGAAGCCCUUCUCCUGCCAGCGCUGCGGGAAGUGCUUCCGUGAGCAGCGCUUCCUCCUCAACCAUCAGCGCACCCACGCUGAAGACCGGCCUGGCACCACUGCCGCCGAGGUCCAGCCCGGCAGCAGCCGCUCGCCGCAGCCAUAUGAGGCAGCCACCGGUGGCCCGUUUGCCUGUGCCCGCUGCGGGAAGGGCUUCAGCUGCAGGAGCAGCCUGGCCACGCACCAGCGCAGCCACGGUGCCGAGCGGCCCUUCGCCUGCCCCGACUGUGGCAAGGCCUUCAGCCAGAAGGGCUCCCUGAGGAUCCACCGGCGCACCCACGCUGCCAGGACACCCUUCUCCUGCACCCAGUGCGGCCAGAGCUUUGCCCAGGAGGUUGACCUCACCGCGCACCAGUGUGCCCCUAGGGCUGAGGCCGCCCUCACGUGAGCCCCCUCCCUCCCGGCGUGUCCCCCUGCAGCCGAUUCCCCUCCUGAGGCCUGUGGGAGCACUGGCACUCCGCUCACACUCCCUUCUGCAGCAGGGAAUUCUGUCCCAGUGGGAGUUGGGGGGCACUAGACUCUCCCCAGGGUUUGGGGGCCUGUGACGGUCCUGUCAGCAGACACAGGAGCCGCUGGCACGCCUGCUUGGGGCUGCACAUGCAGCCCUGCCUGGUGUGUCAGUGGGUCAGCAGCCGCAGGUUGGCCGUGGAACCACCCGGCCAUGCUCCUUGCCCAUUUCCCACCCCUUGUCCUUCUGCUGGGGUUUUCCUGCUGACAGGCACAAGGCUGGUGCUGUCAGCACCCGGAGCCUCAGCCCUCCUGUCCUUGAGCAGUCCACGUGGUUCACCAGAAGCCCUUCCUCCCUUCCCCAUUGCCACAGCUUAACUUCCCCCAGCCAUGGAGGAGGAGGAGGGAGGAGGAGGAGGAGGAGGAAGAGGAGGCUCGUCCCGGCUGCGCCGAGAGCCUCCAGUGAGGCAGAAAGCACGCAAAAUAAAAAUGAAAUCAAACACAAA